rnacentral:lncRNA from 1 species
CAGGAUUUAUUCAAUCAUAUCAGGAAACAAAAUAUGUAGCCAACAUGUAAUGAAUCAUUAGUUUAUGAGAAAACAUUUUCAAUCAAACAAAAUCACUUUUUAUUCACUUUUUAGUCUAUCUCGUGAGGGUUAAUGUUCUGGUGGUUUCUGUUUGAUAAACACCUGUCAAAACAGACAGCCUCUUGUGUAAUUAUGCCUUUUGAAGCAUUUGGGUUGGGCAGGAUCCCUCACAGCAGUGCGUGCCUUUUCUUGUCAUGGUGGAGACUGUUGUAGACCAUAGCUGCAGCCACCUCUUUCACUUGAGUUUGUGGUGUGUGGCAUUCAUCCAGUUCUCUCAUGGAAAGGAAUAAUAAAAAAAACUGCAGUAUGAGUCAACACAUGUCUUACUGUUCAUUUCAAUGGCACUGGACACGGACUGUAGUGAGUGCAACUUAUAGUGGGAGCAGCGUGUCGUUACUGCAGUCUGCAGAUAUUAUAGUGGGCUAGCUAGUCAUAAAGAUAAACCACUUUAGUGAGGGAAAAUACAUGUUGAAUUGAGUGGGUAACUGCCCUUUCAGUGCUUUAUCAGAUUAAGUUUUGACAUUCAACAUUCAUGAAUUGGAGAUAUUCAUUAGAACAAAUAACGCAUUUAACAUAGCAAAGUGCCAACUGGCUACAUAGACAGACUGGAAUACAGAUAACUAGGCUAGCUGAGUAGGGGCUAUCUGUGGACCGCAGACUAGGGUGCGUGGAGUGUGGUGCACAGUGUUGUGUUGCUAGCUAGAUAGUGUUGUGCUAGCUAUCGUGUACUAACUAGCUAGUGUAGCACACUCCUCAGCCUGAAGUGUCCCCACUUGCGCCAGCGAACAGCUUGCUUUUCGCGUGGCACCGACUGGUAAGAUGCCUCAGGAGGGUGGUCACGUGUGCUAGCAAAGCAGAGGUCCUGAGUUUGCGUCAGGUAUGGGACGAAUCAAGAGGAAUGGUACUCGGCUGAGAGUCAGACUCGGCCGACGUCAUGUGGCCCGAGUCUGGGCCGCCUUCGGCACUAUUACUUAUGGCUAGGAUGCGGGGAUGGACCUCGGGCCGAUUCCGUUUCCCAUCAAGAAUGGUCCACAGCCCAAAGAACAUCGAGCCAACUUGACACAGAUGUGGGAAGCAUUGGAGUCAACAUGGGCCAGCGUCCCUGUGGAACGUUUUCGACACCUUGUGGAGUCCAUGACCCAACGAAUUGAGGCUGUUCUGACAUUAAAAGGGGGUGCAACUCAAUAUUAGUAGAGUGUUCCUAAUAUUUUGUGUACUCAGUGUAUGUUCAUACCAUUGUCCCAACACAACUGCAUUACACUCCAAAUAAUUCAAAUUCAGAUGCUAAUCUGGCUGAUGACAGUAGCUAGCUUAG